rnacentral:sRNA from 18 species
UCGCUAUACUCGCGGCGCUUUCGUCAUUGGGGAGUAGCCGCCCUGCGCCCGCAGGGGUUCGCGUCAACACACUUGACCCUCACGGUCAUGGCGCGAACAGCUCCAGAGCCUGGCAAGACCUUUGACCACACUGCCUCCGGAAGGGCCGGGGAUGCCGUGUGGUCUCUGGUAUUCGCUGGCCCUUGGAGAUC